UUAGAGCUAGAAUCAUUUUUAAAUUCUUAAUAAAAAAUUACUAUCAAAUCCUAUUUAUAAAGGCCAUUUCAAACCAUUAACCAAAAAUAAAAACACUGUAAUCCACCUCUUCUUAAAUAUAAGCUACAUCUUGACUUGAUUUACUUUCCCUCAAACCUAUGAACAUUAUAAUCCAACACAAAUAUUCAACCUACAGCGAUAUGCAAGCUAAAAACUUAAGUAAAUUAAAUCGUGGAAUAUCGAUUACAGGGCAGAUUCCUCUGAAUAGACUAAAAUACCGCCAUAUUUAUUAAUUUUCAAGAACUUAACUACUAAUAAUUCAGG
rnacentral:rRNA from 1 species